rnacentral:lncRNA from 1 species
GUUUGGCAGAGAGCAAGGGUGUAGGAUGCCUUGGGCAGACUGUCACACAGCGGUCGUUCCAGAGGUUCAAGGAUCUUUUUAGGUUCUAGUGAGUGCUUUGUAAGGAUAGCUUCUAGUUGAGAGAGAUUGUGUAUAAGGGUUGAGAGUGUGAGGAUCUCCUCUUGUACUUAUUCUUUUUCAUAGUAAAGCUUUGCAUGCUUCGUGGAGGUAAGUCUUGGGC